GACGUAGGGCGCGAGCGUUGUCCGGAAUUAUUGGGCGUAAAGAGCUCGUAGGCGGCUUGUCGCGUCGACUGUGAAAACCCGCGGCUCAACCGUGUGGCUUGCAGUUGAUACGGGCAGGCUAGAGUUCGGUAGGGGAGACUGGAAUUCCUGGUGUAGCGGUGAAAUGCGCAGAUAUCAGGAGGAACACCGGUGGCGAAGGCGGGUCUCUGGGCCGAUACUGACGCUGAGGAGCGAAAGCGUGGGGAGCAAACAGG
rnacentral:rRNA from 1 species